CUGUCUGUGUAACUCUACACCAGGGUGCUCAUUUAUAAAACUCUGCGUAGGAUUCCUACUAAAAAUGGACGUCCGCCAAGAAUCCAGAGUUUGCGUAAGCAACAAAAUAUUCUGAUUUAUAAAACCGUGCUUGCGCACAGGUGCAAGCAAUUUUCCCUUUAUAAAUCACACUCUGCCUGAAAGCUUGCGCAAGUGAAUUCUGCUGCUAGCCCGCCCCCUACACGCCCACAUUCUACUAUAAAUGGUCAAUGCAAAGCACCUCAUGGACAUUUCUGCAUAUAAAUGAACCAGCUGAUCUCUGCUAUUUAAACCUAAAUCAUGGCAACCGAAAAGACGAGGAAGCGUAAUUUUA